UCUCACUCAGCUAUUUAGGGCAGCUGCACAUGAAGCAAAGAGAUCACGUGCACAAAAUCGUAUCCUUAGGCUGGUGAGCUCAAUUAUAUUUUUAAUUGUCACUGCAUCUUUGUUAUUUAUAUAUUAUGAAGAAGCAUUCUACUUGAUGUCAGAGAAUGUCAGUUCGUACUGUGUCAUUCAAGCUUACUUGUGUCCUGGUGUUGGUUGUUCAGUAUCACGGCAACCAAUACAUGCCAUAGGAAAGCCUGUAAAGCUUGAUAAAAAGUGUAUUAUAAAGCAAAACCUGUAAAGCCUAAUGAGAAGUGUAUUAUAAUUUUGUAGAUAAUGCAAGAGGAUGUUUUUUUAUGAACAAAUGAAAUUGGUGUAUGGCUGUUUACUGUUCAAGUCUUGGGAGCAUGUUGAUAAAUUUGGCAUGUCCGGUAUGUAUGCCAUUGCAAAGAUUUUUUAGAAAAAGCACAUGGUACCCAAUUCACUAACUUUUGGUUCGGAUUCUAUUAAAACCCAGGGGGUGCAGCCCCAAAUGUUUUUGAAUAAACAGAGAUGUUCAUGUACAGAUGCAGUAAACCCAAACGCAGAAGCACCAACACAAAUACAACUAAUAUAUGUUUUUAUAUCUUUGUCAUUUUUUUAUAUACUUGGAUGCCAAUCAACCACUCGUGUAAUGUAAUCACUUGACCAAAACCAACUAUACUUCUGCUCUAUAUUGUUGUUUUCGUUUUACAAAAAGCAUAUCAAUGUCUUUUCCAAGUUCCAACAAUUUAACACUCUGUCUCUCUCAUAAAUUUACAACACCCACCUUAUCUCUCAUUCUGUAUGUGUGUGUGUGGUACUCCUCCACUAGAAACCUCCUUAAUAUAAAAACUAGAAACUAAAAUUAAAAAAAUUCUAAAUCACAUCGAAAUAUAGUACAUAUGGUAUGAAAAUUGAUCGUUGGGAGAUGAUGAAAAGUACACUGAAGUCAGAUUUCAAAAAAAAAAAAAAAAAAAAACUCACCGAUUNNNNNNNNNNNNNNNNNNNNNNNNNNNNNNNNNNNNNNNNNNNNNNNNNNNNNNNNNNNNNNNNNNNNNNNNNNNNNNNNNNNNNNNNNNNNNNNNNNNNNNNNNNNNNNNNNNNNNNNNNNNNNNNNNNNNNNNNNNNNNNNNNNNNNNNNNNNNNNNNNNNNNNNNNNNNNNNNNNNNNNNNNNNNNNNNNNNNNNNNNNNNNNNNNNNNNNNNNNNNNNNNNNNNNNNNNNNNNNNNNNNNNNNNNNNNNNNNNNNNNNNNNNNNNNNNNNNNNNNNNNNNNNNNNNNNNNNNNNNNNNNNNNNNNNNNNNNNNNNNNNNNNNNNNNNNNNNNNNNNNNNNNNNNNNNNNNNNNNNNNNNNNNNNNNNNNNNNNNNNNNNNNNNNNNNNNNNNNNNNNNNNNNNNNNNNNNNNNNNNNNNNNNNNNNNNNNNNNNNNNNNNNNNNNNNNNNNNNNNNNNNNNNNNNNNNNNNNNNNNNNNNNNNNNNNNNNNNNNNNNNNNNNNNNNNNNNNNNNNNNNNNNNNNNNNNNNNNNNNNNNNNNNNNNNNNNNNNNNNNNNNNNNNNNNNNNNNNNNNNNNNNNNNNNNNNNNNNNNNNNNNNNNNNNNNNNNNNNNNNNNNNNNNNNNNNNNNNNNNNNNNNNNNNNNNNNNNNNNNNNNNNNNNNNNNNNNNNNNNNNNNNNNNNNNNNNNNNNNNNNNNNNNNNNAAAAAAAAAAAAAAAAACACUCACCGAUUGACGGGAAAAGUCAAAUUAGAAACGGAGGGGAUUAUGUGGGAUAAUAUGCUUGUUACUUUCUUAAAAAAAAUUGCUAUCUACUUUUUGAUCUUUUAAUUUAUGAUAUUGUAAUAUUUCUUUCAUGUACUUGUUUCGUUGGAUAUAAUUUUUUGUAAAUGCACAACAGAUGAAUGAGUGCGCACUACUUUCUACCAGAUUUUUGGCCUUUUAUUUUCUAGAAAACUUAUGUAUAUAUCGAUUUUCUCAUUUUGUGUUACAUGCAGAUCCUGAUCUAUUGCAGAUCAUCAGUGCCACCUCACCAUAAAUGGCCAGCAACUCAGAAACUAUUUACUCUGGAUGCCAUGUACCUUCAUGACAAGCCUGGAGCUGAAAACUGUCCCCAAAAGGUGUAUGAUGCUCUGGUGGACACCAUUGAAGAAGUCAGUGAAUAUGAAGGCUAUGUCUUUGAAAGUGGUGAAGGGUUGCCACGUAUACUCUUCCGCAACAUGUGUGUGCUGUUAUCGCACCCCCAGCAACGUUGCAUUCAGGAUGAUAUCGACAUACCCAAGUCUCUUCCAAAAAAGUCUGCAGCAGUUGAAAUAACUGCAGGUGGUGAAAAUGUUCCAUCGUCUAGCCAAGAGUUAAGUAUGUAGAAUGUAAUCAGUUCAGCAGAAAAUCUUCAAUAUAUGAUUUCCAGGAUUUGUAACUGUGUCAUCUUUAAAACUAAAAUUUGUUGGUGAAGUUACGAGCCUUAAAAUGCUUUCUUUGUUAACAAAUUUAGGUGGCGCCCAAGAAGAGCAUAAUGAAGCUGAUAGGAGGGGGGUUGGAUCUUAUCUGGAGAUGGCAAAGGAAGUGGCUGCUGAAGCAUUUGAGGAAGGCUAUGCUGCCUGUCUAAGGAAACUCGCCGAGGCAGGAGCUAAUUUUUCUGGGUGAUCCUUUGUGAAUUAUUUUGCUGGACUCGAGGAGGAGGCUUUUAAGGGGGCCAAUCCCUCAGAUUCUGCAAUUCCUGGCUUCCAGCUUAGUGGCUUCAACCAUCUCUAAACUUUACCCGCGCCCCCUUCAUUUGUGUCGAUACUUGUCUAAUAUUGGAGCUGAUGAGAUGAGGUACAUUUCUGGUUUUUUUAUGUCAGGUUAAAUUUGACUGCGGUUUAUUUACUACUUUUCAUUCGGUCUUUAGGCCGAAGUACUUUUCUGGUUUUAUGCUCGAGUUGUGCAUACAUGUCGCAUGUGUGUGUUAUUUUGACCAUGUGCCUCAGAGGAAAUGGCAGGGAACAACUCAUGCCAUUUUAAAAAGGUAUAAUCUCAUGCCAUAGGGUUCUUUAUGAUCAGUUUACAAUGAUAAGAUUUCGACACCAGCAAAUGCUUAUUAAUUAAAAAUCAUUUGUUACAAAAUUUUGUGAUAAGAUAAACAUACAACUGAAAAAGUAAGAGGUUCAUCCUUAUAAACAUAUUUGGCCUAUAGAACACAAUUAACUUCCUCCAAAUUUAACAUUUCAUCACGAAGGCUCCGUUUGUAUCACGAGGAAAAUAUAUUCGGGAUCUUCCUGCCUUUGUUUACUUUUAGGAAUUUUCCCGAAUUACCGAAAUAUCGUCAUUUUUUUAGUUCAGGAGAACAUUAUCCUGGUUUUUUGUGUUUGUUUAGUUCAAAGAAUAUAUAUAAUUUCCGGUAGAGAAAAUUAUUUGGACUUGUUGAAAAAUGACUUCCGCUUUGCAAAAGGGAAAUAUGUUUCAAAUUGAACAUUACUUUAUUGUUUUUCAUAAUAUUUUUAAUGAUAGUCAAAAGGAGGGAGGUGAAUUAAUUUUCCUUUAUUUUUUUAGAAAAUAAUGUCUAAAAAAGUUAUUUUCCGGCAAAUAAACGGAGCCCAAGUGUAGAAGAGUAAAAACUUAUCAUGAAUAAACUAUCCGCAAAUUCACAUAUUAUUCAUUGAUGAAAACUUAUCUUUCACACCUUUUUCCAUAACAAGGUUAUGAUUAUCAAUUCCCUGUUUCCCUUCACUCAUAGAAAAAAACAAUGUAAAUGACUGAAAAUAGAAGUUUUCUUAACUUGAUUCAUUCGUAUUACCAUACAACACAUACCUACUUUUAUUUCACUAAUAGAAAACAAUUUAAAAUGCCUCGAAAAUUAUUUACACAUAUCCCAUCAAAGAUAACUGCAGAAUAUACAUUAAAUAAUUCAAACAAGUUCACACAAAUAAAUAAAUUGGUCUGACAUACGGAGGAUUAUAUAUUUAUAGUUAACUCUAAUUCUGGGUGCCGGAACAUAUGGGAGUGUGGCCUCCAAAAUAUGGAAAUAAUAAGCAUUUUUGCAACUAAACUAUUGUUAGUUUGAGUCGAUGUGGUAAUCAACAAUACUAGCAUCAAAUAUUGCUGUUUAAUCUGCUUUGAUUAAGUAGUACAAGUAAUUCUGUAUCAUGACAUAAUUGGAACAAUAGUAAUUAACUAAGCAAAAAUGUCUCGACGAAUCAUAUGGAACCCCAUCACUAAUAAUUAAAAGACGAAAGUCUUUAUAACAUUCGAAACCAUUGAUAAAUAUCACAACAAAAAUGAUUAAAUUGUUUUUGGGCCCCAUACAGAUAAGAAGCUGUUGUAAAGUAGUAGUUCGUAUCGGGCUUUGCUUUCCUGAAGCGCAGAGCAAAUACAAGAGCCCUGCUUUAUGUGCGCUUAAUGCUGAAGCCCAAAGUGCAAAAAAGCUAUUAAAAGCGCUUUUGUGUAAAUGGGUGUUUUUAUUAGAUCAGGACAUAAUUUUAAAAGUUGGGUGACUUGGGUCAAUAUUUUAUUUUAUUGGGCUUGUUCUAAAACCCAGUGCAUUAAACAUAUAGACUUUUAGUAUACAUGUUACACUUUUAGUCAUAUAUACUCUAGAAAACCUAGUCAGCACAAUCUUUUCCACAAAUCCAUAACAAAGCACCUGUAAAAGACUUCCCCCAAUGACUACAAAUCCUCAAUGAACACAAUCAAGAGUGGCCAAUGCACACAAAAGUGGAUCAUCUGAAAGGCAGCUAUUGAUGACAGUGAGGAUGAGGAUGUUUAGUAUAAGAAUGAGGUUUAGAUUGAAGUUGCGCAGAAUAAGCGUCUGGAUCCUGAUUUUGAUGAUGAUUUUAAUUAUUAUAAAGCGAAGAAGAUGUUGAUGCACAAAUAUAAAUUUUAUCCAUUUCUUAAUAUAAUCUGGUACUGUGAAACAUAUGUCUAGCCUUUUCUUUUGAGUUUAUGGAUAUUAGCAUGUUGCGUGUAUAUAUAUAAAUUAAUGUAGUGCACUUUGUUUACAAAAGCCCACGUUUUGCUUUGUGCUUAAGCUACAAGAGACCACUUACGCUUUGCCUUCAAUAACACUGGCGAAGAGAAUUAAAGAACACAUCACUGCACUUUGCUGUAUACUCUUUUUGUUUAUUUAUAUGUGCUCAAAAGAUUGUCUUCCUACAACACUGAAAUCGAGUUUCAGCACAAAGCAAUAAUAUUACACAGAUGUUAUUCUGAUUUUAACCAAUAUUCCCACAUAAUGGAAGCAAAUUCAUAUUGAUGAAAAUUUAAUCCAUGAAAUGUUGCUUGAUCAUUUUAAAUAAUUUUUUUGAUUGAUAAUAGUGUGGAGGGAGGGUCAUCUUUUUCAAGGAGUUAUGAUAUCUCGUUAUAUUUCAGUUGCAAGAUUUUGGUCCCUAAUUCUUAGAAAAAGAAACUCUGUUCAGUAAAAGUGGUUAUGGAUGAUUGAUAUUUCAUUGAUGAUGAUUAGUGACUCAUGAUAUCUAUUGCAUUACUUCUUUUUUUGGCCAUGUUUUUUCUUCCCAUUUUACUUCUUUGGAUUAUUGAGAUUGAAUAACUCGCUCUUUCCUUUUCCCGUGAUCCCUAACCUUGUUUUCCCCGACUUUCUCAAAUGCAUAUUAUCAGCCUGUUUUCUUAUCUAUUUUCGUGUCUAAAUUUCUACUUCAUAUUUACUCGUCUUAAAUUUUAAAGCAUUUUUAGUUGUCGUUCUUGAAGAGGAGAAGGAAAAAGAGGAUUUUGACCCAUUGUAACUCAAUUUCUUCGUGUAUAGAUGUUAUAAAUUGAGAGUUGACGGCCCUUAAGGUCAAAAAGGUAUGCCUUCAUACUAUUGAAAAACCUCCAAGUAGUAACCACUGUAUAAGCAUUCUCGUCCGAUUUCAGGUGUACUGGAUGCAGUGGAAUAACCUACAUUGACCAUACUGUAAAUAAUCCAAUAAUAAAAGCUUGCCAGGACGGUUUUACUAUGAUAAUCUUUGAACGAUUUCCUUUGAUAUGCAGAAUGAAACUUAAACACUAAAUACUGACUAUGAAUGUGUAGACAAUAGCAACUUUGACUUUUCUGUAACAUAACAAGAGUAAGAUUGGUGUGAGCCAAUUAAUAAAAGAGUGAGAUUUUGGUGCAGUUGAUUGAUAUACAUGAUAGUUUGUGCCCCAACAUUAGUUAUUGUAAUUUUUUUUUGUAACUAAAAAAAAAAUUGUUUUAUCGCAAUAAUUUUUUAAUCAAAUAUAUAAAAUAUUUUUUUAAUGACAACUUUCUGUUAGCAAUAUUUCUUUUCAUCAAAACCACAACUGAUGAUGAGGCUGCACUAUCUUCUACCAAAAUGGUUGUCUCUUUUUUUGUUGUUGUUAAGAUCAGUUUUGACAUUUUGUGUUACAUGCAGAUGAGCAGCACUGCCGCAUCAUCAAUGGUCUUUAACUCAGAAACUUAUUACUUUAGAUGUUAUGUACCUCCAUGACAAACCUGGAUCUGGAAUCUGUCGUCAGAACUCAGAAGGUGUAUGAUGCACUGUGGAUGCCGUUGAACAAUUCAGUGAACACGAGGGCUGCAUCUUGGAAAUUGUGGCCAAGGGUUUCCACAUAUACUCCUCCGUCACAUGGGUGUGCUAUAUUGCACCUCUAGCAACUUUGCAUUCAAGAUGAUAUCGCUGUUGAUAUUACUACAUGUGGUGAAAGUGAAACUGUUCCAGUUUCAAGCCAAUGAGUAAGUAUGUAUGAUAUACUCCUGUUUUCAAAUUAUCGACAUUUAACUUUUUGGCACACACUUUUGAAAGCACCGGUCACAUAGUUAGAAUUGUUAUUUUUAAAAUUCUAACCAUGUGGUCAAUCUCUUAGAAGUGUUUAUAAACAGAGGGAGUAUAAUUUUAAUAUAUAAUUGUAAGCCCAGAAGCUAUAUGAUAUCGGUAAUCUGUAACUGUGUUUUUUGUGAAUGUACGAGCCUUGAGAAUUUCACUUUCUGAAAAGUUCAGGGGGUGCUGAGAAAGAGCAGGCCCGUCUUCAUAAUGUAGCUGAUCUUGAGCUGGAAAUUGCCAAUUGCGAGGCUACUGAUGAUUUGAGGCGGCUGCUUUGCCUAUAGUAGGGCAAAGGUUCUUACUCAGAGAAUCCACGAGAAAGCGCCAUUCUUCUUGGCGCGCCAUUAGCGAAGAUGUUUUUACUGCCUUGAACGAAAUGGCAGUUGUCCAGAUCAGAUGUGUCUCACAAAUGCUUUGCUUUGAUUCUUUAAAGUUUUAACCAUCUGUUUGUAAUGUUAAACUUCUCAUACCACUUUAUAUCCCUUACUACUUUAAUUCAAGUUCUGAAACGUACCUUUGUGAUAAUCAGCUAGAAUUGAUCUAAUUUUCUCAUUAAUUCCAUCAAAUAAUUUUACAAGUGUUCUUCUCCGGUUGCAUGUGUAUCUUAGCUUCAGCUUGGAGAUCAAUAUUUAAAGUGUUAAAUUAUAAUAAUCUCACCAUCUAUAUAGUUCUAUUAACGUACAUGGUCAAGUUAUAGUAAUAUCUAACCUGAUUUUCUUUCUUCUGCAAGACCUUUAAAAAUCAAUAAACGGUAUCAAAUAUCUGAGAAUAAUAAAUGAAAUCUUAAUAAAUCCCUGAACCGAAUAUAUAUAUUCGAACAUAAUCAACUUAUUUAAUGGACACCAAUCCAUUUUUUUAUUCGCAUGCUACCCAAUUAAGGUCGAAAAUCUUAAUUAUCCCGUUUUGAUUUUUUUUUAAAAACCAAAACAGCAGUCAUAAGUUGUGACGUGAAACAAAGGGAAACUUUUUUUAAAAAAAAAUAUUCUCAAACACACAUAUUAAAACAGCUUAUUUACCUUAAAAAUUUAUAAAUAUAAAAAAAAAUCUAUUUUAACACAUAUAUUAAAAUUUAUUAUUUCUGGGGAAAUAACUUAUUACUACUUCGUGAAAAGUAAGUUAAGCCAAAAAAAAAAAAAGGAAGAUAAAUACAGAAAUAAAAUAUUAUUUCCCGAACCCAAAAUGACACUGCGCAACUGACACCUAUUAAAAAUCACUUCUCCCCUUUCAUUCGAAGGCGCAGACAACGAGAGAGAUCGAGAGAGAGAUAUCGAGAGAGAGAGAGAGAUGGAGGCAAGUGAAGGGCACAUCACGACACCACCACCACCACCACCAGCUCCCUACACACUCCCACCCUCAAGCUAUGCUAGUGAAGACAUAAUCUUUUGUAUUGACACAGACAGUGAGUGUCUCAAAGAAAUGAAAGUCGGCGGUCCUGCGGGUCCCUUCACAAGAUUGGACACAAUGAAGCAGUCGAUUCUCAUGUUCAUCAAUGCCAAGCUCGCUAUUAACUCUGAUCACCGCUUUGCUUUUUGUGCUAUUGGGAAAAACACUUACUGGGUGAGUUUUCUUGUUAAAAAUUCGAUCUUUUUUGUGGGUUUGGUUGAUUUUGUGAUUCUUGUGUUUUUGAUUGACUUGUGUGUGCAUUUCGGUAUCUGGGUUGCUUUUAUUUUUUUGAUUUGGCUUGUUUUUGAUGGAUUUGUGUGAAUUAUGUGUGUAGAGUGUAGGUUUAUUGUUUUGUGUAUAAAUUUUAUGUAAGGUAUGAAGAGGGUUUGAUGUAUGCAUGAGUUAUCUGUGCUGGAAUUCUGUGUUUGGAUUUGCUGAUUUUCUGAAAAGGCGGAAACCCUAGGUUGUUUUAGUUCUGAUUUUACUUUUUUAACUGCCUAAAAGCAUAGAUUGAGUUUGGCUACAAUUUUAAUAGUUCAAAAUAGGAACUUUACUUGUUUUUCUUUCAUUUAAAGAUUAGACUUGAAGGAAGCAACGAAGAGGGUGGGAUUUUUUGUUGAAUUUCAGUACUUUACUUGAGUAGAUGCUGGUAAGCCCUUGCAUUUUAAGUAAUGAGGACAACAUGUCAGCAUCUUGACCCUGAAGGUUAACCUAUUAAGAUACAGAUCAUUGGUGUUCACCCUUUAUUUCUGUCCUAGUGUUAUCAGGGAGAAUCUAUGUAUAUGUGGUUUUCCAACAAUGUACAUGAACCUUGUGGUGUCAGGCUCAUGCUUGAAAUUUGCUUUCGACAUGAUAAAGCUUUGAAAUUUGAGUGUAGCUACACUCUCACUUAAUACAAUUACAAUCUGUAUUACUUGAGUAUGUAUCUCUUGUUUUAUCAACCAAAGGGAACCUGUAACACUUAACUGAUGCAUGCACACAUGUUCAACCUAACUGAUAAACUAGAAUAGUCGGAAAAAGACUUUUUUUGCAUAUAAGAUUCCUCUUUUUCUCCCUUUAUCAUAUCAUUAUUCUUUUAUAUUUCCACGCAUAAAUGUCAAAUUCUUAAAAACCUAUCAUGUAAUUGACAUUAUAUAUUAAAUGUCUCAUGUUGGACUUAUAUCAUUAUUCUAUUAUAUUUUCACACAUAAAUGCCAAAUUCUUAAAAACCUGUCAUGUAGUUGACAUCCGUUAUAUAUUAAAUGUCUCAAGUUGGACUAAGUAAUAAACAAGCAUAUAAAAGAUCAUCUCACAUAUGACGUGACACUACAUGUGAACAAAUCGAAAUCAGCAAUAUCGAUUGUGCUUUCUUUCCACGUAUUAUUGCCAUAUUGACAAACUUGUUAUUUUAUAGUGAUUUUAAUUUGUCUGCUUGUAGUGCCACGUGAUAUGUCAAAUAGAAUCUGUUUAAUGGUCCUGUUCAAUGCGUGUCAUUUAAUAUAUAAUGCCACGUAAUAUGUCAGAUUGAAUUUUAUUUUCUAUAUAGCCGCCUAUUGCACAUUUCAUUUAAUAUAAAGGAAAUUUAAGUACAAAACUGUUUUUGAAUGAAAUUCUUAUUACGAAAUCAGAAAAAAAACACAAGAUGCCUUUUUCCAAUAUAUUGAUAAGCGCAAAAUUAUUUUAAAGUUGCAAACACAUUUCUUGUAUACUUAAAUACCUCAAGUUUUGACCUUUUCAAUCUGAAAGAGUAAACUAGUAAAGAACAACAAACCCUAGGGAGGAAGGAGAGAAGGAGAGCGUGUGUGUAAUGUUUGAAUGAAUGAAAGGUAGUUAUUUUGGGUUGAUAAUAUUUUUAAGUUUUUCCGUGAUUGAUUAUUGAUUUAUAUUUUGGUCUGUUUCUGAUGGAUAUAUGGAGAGUAAAUUGUAUUAUGUAUACCCUUACAUAGAUUAUAAACAUGAUCUUGUGCCCACACAUCGAUAUAUAGAUUGUUAUACGCAUUAACAUAUCUGAAUUUUGUUAUAGAUACAUGGAUUGUUAUAUUUAGAAUAUGUAGUAUUGCAAGUGGUAAUGUGGUAUGUCAGUUGGUACAGAUGCACUUUACUCUUAUAUAAAUCAUGUAGGAAAGUUCAUUGUAGUGUGCUUAUUUGGAAAAAAAAAUUUGGGGGGUAAAUGUAGAUAUAUGCAUACAUUACGUCUAAUGUUGUUUUAGUAACAAAUCCCAAGUCCGAGUACCAUUUUUUCUACUCUUAUCUUUAUUUAAUAGUAGUGUGCUUAUUUGGAAUUUAUUUUUUUGGUGGGGUGGGGGGUAAAUGUAGAUAUAUGCAUACAUUACAUCUAUGUUGUUUUAGUAACAAACCCCAAGUCCAAAGACCAUUUUUUCUAUUCUAAUCUUUAUUUAACGAACUAAAAGCAUCAAUUGAGUGUGGCCACAAUUGUAGUACAUCAAGAUGGAAAAUUUACUUAAUUUUCUUUAAUUGAAUGAUCAAAUAAAAGGGAAGAAAAGAAGAGGAAGAUUCAUGUGGAAUUUUUUUUAUUUUUCUUUGCUAGAUGCCUGGCAAUUCUUCACAUCUAAGUUUUAAGCUACCACUGUUAUAUAUAAGCAAGACCAGAUAUCUUUAUAAUGAUGAGAAACCUCUUUAAAUCCUUUUGCCGAUCAUCUACAAAAAUUUCUUUACCUUUCUCCUAAUGAGUCCUUUAUGCAAUUUUGAUCAAUUAAUGCUUCAUACAUGACCACGCCUCUAAUACAAGCCGUUGGUAUUAUCAUAGACUUGCAUAAGCUCCGGCAGAACUUCAUCUUAAUCAAAGCAUUGAAUUAAUAUUUGUUGGUCCUUUAGGGCAAAUAUUUUCCUGUUGUAUUCCUGUUGGUUGGUCAAUGCAAUUGUGCAAUCUUCACUCAGAUUAACUACAACUGGACAGAAAAGGCGGCUCGGUUAUGCAAAAUUUGUUAUUAGUAGGCUAGUAGCUGGUAAUAGAAAAUGUUGGAUCCAAAGCAGCAACCUGAUAACUGAUAAGUGUCCUAAUGUUCACAGCUUUCUCAAAGUCCAAAAAAAUGAUUUUUAUCAUGUUUUCUUUAAGUUUCUAGAGCAUUAACUAAUCAAAACAUUGAACAUGUUUAUGUUUUCUUUAUGCAGCUACAGAAAGAUUUUAGCAGCAGGUCCGAUUUUGCAUUCAUAGCAUUCACUAAGAUCACAGAGCUUUCCUCGUCAGACCAAGCUGAUCUCACCCAGCUAUUCAGGGCGGCUGCACACGAAGCGAAAAAAUCUCGUGCGCAAAAUCGCAUCCUCAGGCUGGUGAGCUGAAUUGCACUCCUGAAUUGCCACAUUUAUUUAUUACUAUAAUAUUUUGUUACUAUGAAGCAGCAUUCUGGUUCUUGUUAAUGAUAGAGAAUGUCAGUUGUACUUUUUUAUGAGUAUCCUUCUAUUUUUUGUUCGGUUGAUCUCAUGCAAUCAUUUUAUACCAAUGCAAGAUGCCAUGUGGAAUUGAGAUACAUCAGAGACAAAAUUGUAGCAAGUGUAAUAAAUAUUGUAAAAAUACAUUGAUACUUUGUAAAGAUAAUGUGAACGAAUGAAUUGGUGUUUUGAAGCCUUUGGAGCGGCAUAAUAAGUUUUGCAUUUCCAGUAUGUUAAAUUGAACGAGCACGUAUAGUAAAGGAAAACAUUUGAUACUUAGUCCUUUUACUCUUAAGUCUUAGGAGUGUCAUUGAAUUGGAUAACUAUAUUAAGAAACUAGAUCUAGGUUCUUACCUCCUAUUUUUGUAUCUGAUGAAUGAUGAUUGUUACACAACGUCACAUUCUGCCAAAUGGCAAUAUAUUUUGGUUCCGUGCAUUUGGGGACCCAGUUGCUAUUUAGAGAGCAAAUAGUCCCUUGGUAGUAUAUAUAUAUUUCCUCAAUGAAGAUAUAAGAACAGGUAGCUAUCUGAGAAAGGAAUAAUAUGUCCAAUCAGAGGCGGAACUAGGCAUAGUUUACGGGUUGAAUGUAAUUGUUUUUGGCAAGUGGCAGAUUCUAAUUUAUCCUCCUUGUUAUAGCAGAUUGCAUUUCCAACUAUUUACCUUUAAUGAUAAAGGUACCCUUUAUUGAGGGUCUAUCUCAUGGUUGAUUUUGUUCUGCAACUUAUUGUUACCAGCGGCAGGGUUUAAAAUUUCAUUAAGCAUACAAGACUGAUUGUGAUGAAAAUAUGCAUUUUGUAUUCUCAACUUGCUGUUAUUAACAUUUUGAUCUAUUGCUGGUUGUUUUGAUUGCUAUAAUUUUUCAUCAAAAAAUGAGUUAAUAACAGAGUCAUCAAGCCAGGCUCCUUUCUACCAAGAUGUUCUUUAUUCUCAUAUCAAUAACUUACGUAAUUAUGGAUUUAUUAUCACAUGCAGGUUCUGCUGUACUGUAGAUCUUCAGUAACUCCAUACCAUCGAUGGCCUGUAACUGAGAAACUAUUUACUCUAGAUGUGAUGUACCUCCAUGACAAGCCUGGACCUGAAAACUGUCCUCAAAAGGUGUAUGAUGCUCUGGUGGACACCCUUGAACAAGUCAGUGAAUACGAGGGCUACAUCUUUGAAACUGGGCAAGGGCUGCCGCGUAUAAUCUUUCGCCACAUGUGCGUGCUUUUAUCCCACCCCCAGCAGCGUUGCGUGCAAGAUGAUAUCGACAUACCCAAGUCUCUCACUAGAAAGCCACCAGCCUCUGAGACAACCACAGGCAGUGAAGUUCAAGGCUCAAGCCAGUAAGUAAGCAUGUAUAAUGUAACUGUUCAGCACACCCCUUCCCCGACAUGGUACUUUGUACUCUGUAAUGUGUGUGCGGAAGUGUAACUUUUUAGACUAAACCUUUUUUUUUUCUUGCAAAACUGUGAAGCUUAAAGCUUUCUAAAAGCUUCAAAGCUUUUCAGUGGACACCUAAAAGACUUGUAGUUUCAUAAAGAUGCGCGUGGUGUGUUAUGGUUUACAUGAUCAGCGCUACAAGAGCUGCAUGUUGUCGGAUAAUUUGCGAGAUGCAGAACUUCAAAACUGCUUUAGUUCAUGAUAUCCAUAUUUUGCUGAGAUGCUAUGCAGAUGAAUUAAAACGGAUUCAUGAUAGAAAAAUGCAGUAUUAUUGCGGAUAGAUAGUAUUAUUAGUCACACAAGUUGAUAUAAUAUCCAUAUAAUUUGGUUACUUAUCAACUACUGAGAAAACAAAGUCUUGCUCUUAUCUGUCUGAUUGUAUAUCAGUCUAUCCACAUCUUUUGGAAUAAUUAUAUUACGCUAAUAUUAUUAUUUUGAUGCUAAUCAACAUCAACCAUUGAGGUUAGAAAUAUGAAGAGCAAUGGGGUUUGAUGAUAAGAUGGUAUUUACUAUUUAGUAUCUACAGCUGCAGGCAAUGGUUUAUCCAUCUGUCUAUUUUCUUAUUGUCCAAGUCUCCAGAACAGUUUUCUAAAAUAUUUCUAAAAUAUAGUUUAAUAAGUUAUGAAAUAUUUUCUUACUGUCCAAGUCUCCAGAACUCUUGUUUACACUGAGAAAAGGACUCGCAAAUAUUUCUAAAAUAUAGUUUGAUAAAUUAUCUUGAACUUUUCUUUUCUGAAUAAACAUUAAAAUUUUAUACAAAAAGAAAAUUUUAAAAAUAAACUAUGAAAUUAUAUUCAUAUACGUCUUAAUAUGCGUGUCGAGCAAUGAAAAAGACCGUAAUAAAAUGAGAGGGAGAGGGACUGAGGGAGUAUAUACUAUAUAAUAGACGGUCCUGUUUUCCGGCAUCUGUAUAACGUCCGAGAUUAUAACAAUAUUUUGUGACAUUCAAUAUUAUUUUUUUAACAGGUAAAAUUUAGGAAAAAUCAUUGAAAAAAUAAAUAAUCAUUCUAGUCGUCCAUCAGAAAAAAUACUAAAUAUGAUAAACAUAUGUUGUAAUCUCGAUUGUUAGAUAUAUUAUAUAACAAUUAUGAAUUAUAGGACCCGUAGUAGAAAUCACAGUUGCUCGUUAACAAUGAAAUGAUAAAAGUCAGAUACAAACUAAAUUUUAUAAAUUGUUUUUCCGGUCAGCAACAUCAGCUUAAGAUUAUUAUACCGAGUGAACACCUGAGCAUGACGGUAUCUUCACUAUUAUACUCCCAUUUUAAGAAAGUAUAGUAAAAGUCAACUGGGACAUUAUCAAUCUUUAACUAAAAAUGUCCAUGAAACGUUAUUGAUCCAAAGUGUUCUCAACUUGUUCAACUUAGCCGGUGUUUAAAUGAAAAAGAAUUGCAUUUUAAUAUAGUUGUCUUCUUUUUUAAUAAAUUAAAAGGAUUUGACCAAACUUUCAUGCCCAAAUAUGGCUGUUCCUUUAUCCACUCAAUGACUCAAAGGGGUUAUCUGCAGCUUCAAUUUUGUAAGCAUCGUACUGCUCGGAUGCAUGAUAUAAAUUAUGUGUUUAUUUUCGUUUAAGUGAACUCGAUUUUAUUUGUUUAUUAAAAAAUUUGAUUUUAGAGAAGAAUUUUGUUCGUUUAGUAAAUAAAUAUGUAUAUUUUACGGGUUUUGUUUAAACUCGGCUCGAAUAUAUUUGUUUAUGUUAUUAUAUUCUUGACACUCGAAAUUUCCUGCCCUGGACAGGACAUGUACCUGGUCAUGUUGAUUUAUGCCUAUAUUUGAAAUCUCUCAUCCAAUUCCAUGAUAUUUUAAAAUAAAAAAUUGUCAACAAAAGGAAGAGUUUCUUGAUCAAACAUGGGGACACCUAACAUGUCCUUUAAUUGAAUCUUAGGGUAAUCUAAAAUAAUAGUAUUACCUUCAUUUUAUAAUGGAGCCAUUUAACUCCAGCUUAUAAUGGGGACGUUUAACAUAUUUUAACUGGAAAAAAUUGAUUAUAAAGAAGAAGUCAUUUUUGUUUUAUGUAUUUAGAUGAUUUUUUUAUAUUUACAAUUUAUUAAAUAUAAAAAUUAUUAAUAAUAUAAUAAAUUUUAUAAAUUAUCUUUUAAAAUGGUUCCUACAUAUUUAUAAAAUCAAAAUUUAAAAACAAAUAUAAGCCAAUGAAAAAAUUUAAAUUUUCAACUUCUCAGAUUCUAAUUUAUAAAUUGUUUUCGACCCAUAAAUUUAUUACACAAAUGAUAAGAAUAAGCUGAUUUUGGCUUAUAAAUCGAGCCCAGCUGUGUCAUCAAGUUGUUCUUUUAGGCUCUUGAGAGGCACUAACUGCUAUUAUUUAUUAUUGGAAGCUACCAAGUUGAUGGAUAACUCUAUAAAUAGAUUAAUCCAACAGGCAUUGGUUUUAAGUUUUAACUUUUAUUAAGGUUGCAAACAAGAGAAUUUUGCAUCUGUUUGUAUGGGGAUCUGCAUAUCCACUGCAUCUUAUUCUUCUGAGAUCUAUGAUAUUGAGCAUGGCCCUGAGAAUGCUGUGUUUUAUGAAGAAAUGAAAGAUGCAGCUGAAGAGAAUCAAUUACUCUGUUCUCUUCAUUCUCAGCAAGGCAGUAAAGGGAUAAAUCAAGAUUAUGGGAUCAUAUAUCAGGUACAGUUAUGUUUUGUUGAGAAUCUUUAACUGAGUUACUGGUUUUUCACUAUGUAAAUGAAACUUGUAUAACAGAAGAUGUUCUAAGUUUAGACUUGGAAGAACUUUGCUGGUAUUGUUGGCAUUCUUGGUUUUAGCGGGAAGGAAUAGAAUGAAAAAUUAUGAACAAAAUUUAAGACGAAAGAACGCGAUGUUACGAUAAGGGCACUUUUGUUCUUUAUUGAAUAGAAUCAUGAUUUAGUUGCAAACCUUCUGAUUAUAGAUUACCUUUGUUGUUUUCUUUAUAAGGGCUAUGGAAUGGAAAUGGGAACUUUCUGCGGAGUCUUUGAUGGGCACGGAGCAAAUGGUCAUACGGUUAGUAAAUUGGUUAGGAACCGGUUGCCUUCGUUGCUGUUGAAUCAAAGAAAUGAUAUCGUGAAGUACAAUUCACUAUCAAACGACGAUAGGAAUCUUGAGAACUGGAAAGAGGCUUGUGUUAGCGGAUUCAGGGUGAUGGACAAGGAGAUUAAGCUUAUGGAAAAUCUGGACUGCACUUGCAGCGGAACCACUGCUGUUACUGCUAUGAAACAGGUGCUUAUUUACAUAGGUUUUUGACAUUAAUGUAAAAACAUUAAUGCUUGUAUGCAUUUUAAUUGGUCAAAAUCUUUGCAGGGUGAGGACCUUGUUGUAGCUAAUCUUGGUGAUUCAAGAGCAGUUCUGGGAACGAUUGGUAAGAAUGGAAUCCGGGCUGUUCAGUUAACCACAGACUUAAAACCAUGUGUUCCCAGUAAGUUAGUCCUUAUUUUCUUCCAUUCUGAAUCGGAUUCGUAAAAGUUUUUGAUCAGAUAAUCUGGGCGUACCUUGUGUUGUUAUAAUUGUGUCAUUUGUGUUGUAGUGGAAGCAGAGAGAAUUAGAUCAUGCAACGGUCGUGUGCUUGCUUUAAAAGAUGAAUCACACGUUCAACGAGUAUGGUUGCCUCAAGACCAGAGCCGGGCCUGAGGGUGUGCAGAGUGUUCGACGGAACAGGGCCCUAAAAUAUCAGGGGCACAUUUUUUUUAUGUAGGUUUAUAUAUAUAUGUAUAGUCAAAAUGAAAAAAAAAAUAGCUAAAAAAGUAAAUUUUAUUUUUAAGAUUAAAAAAUUGUAAAUGAAAAAAAAAUUAAAAAAUAUUAUACACUUCAAUAAUUUUUAAAUGUUAUCUUAAAUAAGUUAUAUAAAUUCUAAAAAAAUACUAAUAUCAUAAUCAUGUUAAUAGAAAUAAAUACUUGCAUUGAAAAUAAUGGCAUUGAAAAUUGUAAAAGUUACCCUGCUCUCGAGGUAAAAUUCUAAUUUAACUGCUAACUUCAAUGACUUCAUUAAAAUUCUACUUAUACUAUUUUUUUUCUUUCUUAAUGACCAUAUACAAUAUUAUAUCAUUAAAAUAAUGAUUCAAUCUUUAGUAACUAAUUUAUUUUAAAUUAUAUUUAUUUUUAAUUUAUACAUGCAUAUAUAUAUAUAUAUUAAAUAUGAAACAAGUAAUUUAAAUAUAAAAUGCAUUGAAUAAUGGGUUUAUAUAAUUUUAAAACAAGUAUACCUCUAAUAUAAAUUAAAAUUGUUAAAGUUGCUGAAAUCAUACUUGAGGUCAACAAUGUCGCAUGAGAGAUUGAAUGGAUUAGCACCGUUAUCCAUAGAAAAUAGUUUGCUAGAGAAUGUAGAUUAUAAAAAUAUUAUUAGUGAUUUUGCUUCAAAAAAUGCUAGAAGAACAAUUUUCAGAUAAUUUUAUAUUAUCUAUGUACUCUUUUUAUUUCUCAACAAUUUUCAGUUAAUUUUUGUAAUAUGAAAAAAAUAUUUUAUGCACUUUAAUUGUGAUAUGAUUUUUACAGUUUUGUGUCAAUUUUUAUUCUUUCAUGUACUUAUAUUUUUAGACUAUUAGAGCAGUAUUAGGGCACACUUUUUACAUUUUGCACAGGCACAAUAAAUCUCAGGCACGGCCCUGCUCAAGACGACUCUCCAGGCUUAGCCAUGUCUCGAGCUUUUGGGGACUUCAUACUCAAAAACCAUGGUGUAAUUUCCAUUCCACAUAUCACGUAUCAUCGUCUAACAUCUUCUGACCAGUUCGUGGUGCUUGCAACAGACGGAGUAAGCCUGCAUUUCUCAAACAACUAAAAUCAUAUCUCAAAUUCCCUUCUAUGGAACUAACAAGUUCAAUUGCAGGUUUGGGAUGUGCUGAGCAAUAAUGAAGUGGUAUCGGUUAUAUGGGCCGCAAAGAGCGAAGAAGCCGCGGCUAAGGCAGUGGUGGAUGCAGCCAUAGUUGCAUGGGAACACAAGUACCCAACAACAAGAAGGGAUGAUUGUACUGUAGUAUGUCUCUUCUUUCAGAAGAGUGUGCAUUACAACAGUAGAGCACAAACAUGAGUUGAGCUUUAGUUGUGGAGUAAUGUUUAUUACCGGUAAGAGAUUUAUUGAUUCCAUAUAUACCAGUGUCAUAAUGCAGAUUCAGUUCCAUUCCCCUGAAAGAAUCAGAUACAUCUAGCAAUGUUAGUUACAGAUCAUUAGCACAUAAUAUACUCGACUGGCUUACUGGGAACAAGAUUAAAAGACUGAAAAUAUGCUUCAGAUCCUCUGGUUUAACCUUAGUAUCCAUUUCUGGCUCGAAUGGAAUAGAGAUGCAACAUUGAUGUAGACAAUAACGGGAAACUAUAAACGUAAAUUCGUUCCAGAGUCGGAAAUAGAACAAAGGACAAGAUAAUCAUUAUUAGUAAUAUUUAUUCAGAAAGAAGCUGCUACUGAGUAUUUACAACUCUAUGAGAACAUAUAAUUGUAAAUUUCACAGUGAUUCAAACUGAUAUAGUGUAAAUAGAGCUUAAAAAAUUCUUUCAAGUACAAGCUUGUCCAACCUUUAAGAUUAGUAUUUGUAUCAUCAUUCCUCCAAUAUUAAGGUCCUCAGCUGUGAUAUAUACGUCCAUUACAUUGUAUCAGUCUAAAAGCGCGAAUAGUAUCAGUCUUAAAGCGCGAAUCAGACUUAAAGCGCGAAUCAGACUUAAUCGGUGAAAGCUCUGGACAAGGAUUAAUUAAAUAAAUCAGUGACUAAUAAGAUGAUUAAUAUUUAAUCAAUUCGACGAGUUAUGGUACAGAGAUUAAUCGGAUAAUCACCGACUUCUAAAACAAUGUUAUAUUUCUGUCGUUCUGUGUAAUCCAUACAGUAAUGCCAUAUUUCUGUUGUUCUGUGUAACCCAUACAGCACAACAGCACGACGUUACAUACCUUGUAUUCUAUCGUUACAUCAAACAAGUGAGAGCAAUUAAUUAUUAAGGUAAAAUCAAUGGUUGAUAACUUCGUACUGCUCCGCAAAAUUGGUAAUUUGAGCUUAGUUCUUCACCUCAAGCUUGGUCUUAUGUGUAAAUGUUCUCAUAGCAUUGCAGAAAUUCCUAUCAUAUUGAUAUGCAUGAUGCAUCAACAAUAUUAACAAUGCAAUAUAUUUUCUCUAAUUUAUUUGUUCUUAGUAUCAAGCACAAUGCAUUUCUUUGUUUCAUCCAUCACGAUAAAGAGCUAAUAUCUGGUUAACAAAUCGCAAAUUUAACAAGAAUCCGUAUUCUGUAAAUAAAGAGGUAAUCUGGUAACUAAUCACCAUUUUAACAAGAACUCAGAAUUUUGUGCUCAUAACAGGUAAAAUUCAUAUUCUGUUAAUUAAAGAGGUACUAAGAUCUGGUAACUAAUCCCCAUUUUAACAAGAACCCGAAUUCUGUAAACUGGAGAGAUCAUAUCAGGUUAACUAAUCACCGGUUUACAAUAACUCAAAUUCUGUUAACUAAUCAGCAUUGAACAUUUUGCAAGUUUAUCGCAACAGAUUCAGAAUUUUUCGCCAACAAAUUACCAAUUAAGCAUCUAAAUGACUAAUACACUGCUUAAGUUAACAGAUUCAGAUCUACAAUUCUCACUAGCAUUGACAUAAAAUCCAAUUUAUUUAAUUAUUAAUUUACUUGAGCAUCAACAUCCAAAUCAACAAGUGUAGGAAAUCAAGCUAACAGAUCCAGAUCUACAUAAUACUAACAAUUAAACAAACACAAUAAUAAUAUUAAUAAAAUCAAUAAUUGAAUCAGUUAAUUAAGUAAUAAAAGCUACAUAAAUCUCACUAACACCACAUCAAAAUCUUCAAUCAAAAACAUAAUCACUCUCUCUCACUUUCACUCUAUAAUACUAGCAUAUCAUAUAAUACUUCUACUCUUUAGAUCUGGAGAAAAGAACCGAAGAGAAGAGCGGCGACGGCGCAACCAACAGCGGCAAGCGACGGCGAGAGAGAUCCGGCGGAGGACAUCGGAGAUGGCGCCGGUGCGGGAGACUCGUCGGCGACGGUGGAUCCGAUGAGAGAGAAGACGACGGCGAUGAGCGCGAUGAGAGAGAUUGUGGAGUGAGAGAGCGCCAUUGUUGAGAGAGAUCUGUGAGUUUGAGAGAGAGUGAGGGAGAGGAGUGAGGUGGGAGGGGUUUGAGCUAUUUUUGUGUAUUUAUGGAGGGAUUUGUAGGUGUUGCUAGAUGGG
rnacentral:lncRNA from 1 species